rnacentral:rRNA from 1 species
GGGCUUGACUCCCACGAACCUCCCGAAAGGCAGGAGUGCCCGCAAGGGAGCGCGGAGACAGGUGGUGCAUGGCUGUCGUCAGCUCGUGUCGUGAGAUGUUGGGUUAAGUCCCGCAACGAGCGCAACCCUCACCCCUUGUUGCUACCAGGUAAAGCUGGGCACUCUAGGGGAACUGCCCCGGUCAACGGGGAGGAAGGCGGGGAUGACGUCAAGUCAUCAUGCCCCUUACGUCCUGGGCUACACACGUGCUACAAUGGCCGGUACAAAGGGAUGCCACACCGCGAGGUAGAGCUAAACCCAAGAAGCCGGUCUAAGUUCAGAUUGGAGUCUGCAACUCGACUCCAUGAAGGAGGAAUCGCUAGUAAUCGCGUAUCAGCACGACGCGGUGAAUACGUUCCCGGGCCUUGUACACACCGCCCGUCACACCACGAAAGCCAGCUGUACUCGAAGUCGCUGAG